rnacentral:rRNA from 1 species
AGAGUUUGAUCCUGGCUCAGGAUGAACGCUGGCGGCGUGCUUAACACAUGCAAGUCGAGCGAAGCACCUCGAAGUUUUCGGACGGAUGGGUGACUGAGCGGCGGACGGGUGAGUAACGCGUGGGUAACCUGCCUCAUACAGGGGGAUAACAGUUAGAAAUGACUGCUAAUACCGCAUAAGCGCACAGGACCGCAUGGUCUGGUGUGAAAAACUCCGGUGGUAUGAGAUGGACCCGCGUUGGAUUAGGCAGUUGGCGGGGUAACGGCCCACCAAACCGACGAUCCAUAGCCGGCCUGAGAGGGUGAACGGCCACAUUGGGACUGAGACACGGCCCAAACUCCUACGGGAGGCAGCAGUGGGGAAUAUUGCACAAUGGGGGAAACCCUGAUGCAGCGACGCCGCGUGAGUGAAGAAGUUAUUCGUAAUGUAAAGCUCUAUCAGCAGGGAAGAAAAUGACGGUACCUGACUAAGAAGCCCCGGCUAACUACGUGCCAGCAGCCGCGGUAAUACGUAGGGGGCAAGCGUUAUCCGGAUUUACUGGGUGUAAAGGGAGCGUAGACGGCUUUGCAAGUCUGAUGUGAAAGGCAGGGGCUCAACCCCUGGACUGCAUUGGAAACUGUGAGGCUCGAGUGCCGGAGGGGUAAGCGGAAUUCCUAGUGUAGCGGUGAAAUGCGUAGAUAUUAGGAGGAACACCAGUGGCGAAGGCGGCUUACUGGACGGUAACUGACGUUGAGGCUCGAAAGCGUGGGGAGCAAACAGGAUUAGAUACCCUGGUAGUCCACGCCGUAAACGAUGAUUACUAGGUGUCGGGGGACACGGUCCUUCGGUGCCGCCGCACACGCAUUAAGUAGUCCACCUUGGGAGGUACGUUCGCAAGAAUGAAACUCAAAGGAAAUGACGGGGAGCCGCACAAGCGGUGGAGCAUGUGGUUUAAUUUGAAGCAACGCGAAGAACCUUACCAAGUCUUGACAUCGAGAGGACAGAGUAUGUAAUGUACUUUCCUUUCGGGGCGUCAAAGACAGGUGGUGCAUGGUUGUCGUCAGCUCGUGUCGUGAGAUGUUGGGUUAAGUCCCGCAACGAGCGCAACCCCUCUCCUCAGUAGCCAGCGGUCCGGCCGGGCACUCUGUGGAGACUGCCAGGGAUAACCUGGAGGAAGGGGGGGAGGACGUCAAAUCAUCAUCCCCCUUAUGACUUGGGCUACACACGUGCUACAAUGGCGUAAACAAAGGGAAGCGAGGGAGUGAUCCGGAGCAAAUCCCAAAAAUAACGUCUCAGUUCGGAUUGUAGUCUGCAACUCGACUACAUGAAGCUGGAAUCGCUAGUAAUCGCGAAUCAGCAUGUCGCGGUGAAUACGUUCCCGGGUCUUG